rnacentral:rRNA from 1 species
CCUACGGGAGGCAGCAGUGAGGAAUAUUGGUCAAUGGACGCAAGUCUGAACCAGCCAUGCCGCGUGCAGGAAGACGGCCCUAUGAGUUGUAAACUGCUUUUGUACGAGGGUAAACGCAGAUACGUGUAUCUGUCUGAAAGUAUCGUACGAAUAAGGAUCGGCUAACUCCGUGCCAGCAGCCGCGGUAAUACGGAGGAUUCGAGCGUUAUCCGGAUUUAUGGGGUUUAAAGGGUGCGUAGGCGGUAUGAUAAGUCAGUGGUGAAAUCCCGAGGCUCAACUUCGGAAUUGCCUCUGAUACUGGACGGCUAGAGUGUAGUAGAGGUAGGCGGAAUGCGUGGUGUAGCGGUGAAAUGCUUAGAUAUCAGGCAGAACACCGAUUGCGAAGGCAGCUUACUAAGCUACUACUGACGUUGAGGCACGAAAGCGUGGGUAGCAAACAGGAUUAGAUACCCCUGUAGUC